rnacentral:rRNA from 1 species
CAGGAGGAUAGCCCGGGGAAACUCGGAUUAAUACUCCAUAGGAUUUUAAUUGGCAUCGAUUAAGAUUGAAAGAUUUAUUGGAUAAGGAUAGGCAUGCGUCAGAUUAGCUAGUUGGUGGUGUAACGGACUACCAAGGCGAUGAUCUGUAGGGGGCCUGAGAGGGUGAACCCCCACACUGGUACUGAGACACGGACCAGACUCCUACGGGAGGCAGCAGUGAGGAAUAUUGGACAAUGGAGGGAACUCUGAUCCAGCCAUCCCGCGUGCAGGAAGACGGCCCUAUGGGUUGUAAACUGCUUUUGUAUGGGGAUAAAUCUACUUACGUGUAGGUAGUUGAAGGUACUAUACGAAUAAGCAUCGGCUAACUCCGUGCCAGCAGCCGCGGUAAUACGGAGGAUGCAAGCGUUAUCCGGAUUCAUUGGGUUUAAAGGGUCCGUAGGCGGGCUAUUAAGUCAGUGGUGAAAUUUUGUCGCUCAACGAUAAAACUGCCAUUGAUACUGAUAGUCUUGAGUGAUAUUGAAGUAGCUGGAAUGUGUAGUGUAGCGGUGAAAUGCAUAGAUAUUACACAGAACACCGAUUGCGAAGGCAGGUUACUAAGUAUUAACUGACGCUGAAGGACGAAAGCGUGGGGAGCGAACAGGAUUAGAUACCCUGGUAGU